rnacentral:rRNA from 1 species
CGCGGCCUAUCAGCUUGUUGGUGAGGUAAUGGCUCACCAAGGCGUCGACGGGUAGCCGGCCUGAGAGGGUGACCGGCCACACUGGGACUGAGACACGGCCCAGACUCCUACGGGAGGCAGCAGUGGGGAAUAUUGCACAAUGGGCGAAAGCCUGAUGCAGCAACGCCGCGUGAGGGAUGACGGCCUUCGGGUUGUAAACCUCUUUUAGCAGGGAAGAAGCGAGAGUGACGGUACCUGCAGAAAAAGCGCCGGCUAACUACGUGCCAGCAGCCGCGGUAAUACGUAGGGCGCAAGCGUUAUCCGGAAUUAUUGGGCGUAAAGAGCUCGUAGGCGGUUUGUCGCGUCUGCUGUGAAAUCCCGAGGCUCAACCUCGGGCCUGCAGUGGGUACGGGCAGACUAGAGCGCGGUAGGGGAGAUUGGAAUUCCUGGUGUAGCGGUGGAAUGCGCAGAUAUCAGGAGGAACACCGAUGGCGAAGGCAGAUCUCUGGGCCGUAACUGACGCUGAGGAGCGAAAGGGUGGGGAGCAAACAGGCUUAGAUACCCUGGUAGUCCACCCCGUAAACGUUGGGAACUAGUUGUGGGGUCCAUUCCACGGAUUCCGUGACGCAGCUAACGCAUUAAGUUCCCCGCCUGGGGAGUACGG